rnacentral:rRNA from 1 species
AAUCAACGCUGGCGGCGUGCCUCAGACAUGCAAGUCGAACGCGAAAUUUCCCUUCGGGGAGAAAGUAGAGUGGCGCACGGGUGAGUAACACGUAGGUAAUUUGCCUUUGGGUGGGGAAUAACUCAGGGAAACUUGAGCUAAUACCGCAUAAUGCAGCGGCUCGACAUCGAGACAGUUGUUAAAGCGGGGGAUUGGAGCAAUCCGACCUCGCGCCUAAAGAGAAGCCUGCGGCAGAUUAGCUAGUUGGUAAGGUAAUGGCUUACCAAGGCGACGAUCUGUAACCGGCCUGAGAGGGCGGUCGGUCACACUGACACUGACAUACGGGUCAGACUCCUACGGGAGGCAGCAGUCGGGAAUUUUGGGCAAUGGGCGCAAGCCUGACCCAGCAACGCCGCGUGAAGGAUGAAAUUUUUCGGAAUGUAAACUUCGCAAGAACAGGAAGAAUAAGUGUGGGACAAUACCCACAUGAUGACGGUACUGUUUGUAAGCUCCGGCUAACUCCG